UACAGAGGGUGCAAGCGUUGUUCGGAAUUAUUGGGCGUAAAGAGCGCGUAGGCGGUUUGCUAAGUCUGGUGUGAAAGCCCUCAGCUUAACUGAGGAAGUGCAUUGGAUACUGGCAGGCUUGAGUGUGAGAGAGGAUCGUGGAAUUCCUGGUGUAGCGGUGAAAUGCGUAGAUAUCAGGAGGAACACCGGUGGCGAAGGCGGCGAUCUGGAUCAUAACUGACGCUGAGGCGCGAAAGCGUGGGUAGCAAACAGG
rnacentral:rRNA from 1 species